AUUGAACGCUGGCGGCAGGCCUAACACAUGCAAGUCGAACGAGUGGCGGACGGGUGAGUAAUGUCUGGGAAACUGCCUGAUGGAGGGGGAUAACUACUGGAAAAGGUAGCAAAUACCGCAACCCAGCGGAUGGGCCCAGAUGGGAUGAGCUAGUGGGUGGGGUAAAGGCUCACCUAGGCGACGAUCCCGAGCGGGUCUGAGAGGAUGACCAGCCACACUGUGACUGAGACACGGUCCCACAGCCUACGUGAGGCAGAAGUGGGGAAGAGUGCACAAGGGGCGCAAGCCUGGUUCAGCCAUGCCGCGUGUAUGAAGAAGGCCUUCGGGUUGUAAAGUACUUUCAUCGGGGAAGCGUUACCCGCAGAAGAAGCACCGGCUAACUCCGUGCCAGCAGCCGCGGUAAUAC
rnacentral:rRNA from 1 species